CUAAAUCACAGUAACAGGAGUGUUAUAAGACACUUUUCAUCCACAGGUAUCUCUAAAUCACAGUAACGGGAGUGUUAUAAGAUACUUUUCAUCCACAGGUAUCUCUAAAUCACAGUAACGGGAGUGUUAUAAGAUACUUUUCAUCCACAGGUAUCUCUAAAUCACAGUAACGGGAGUGUUAUAAGAUACUUUUCAUCCACAGGUAUCUCUAAAUCACAGUAACAGGAGUGUUAUAAGACACUUUUCAUCCACAGGUAUCUCUAAAUCACAGUAACAGGAGUGUUAUAAGAUACUUUUCAUCCACAGGUAUCUCUAAAUCACAGUAACGGGAGUGUUAUAAGACACUUUUCAUCCACAG
ensembl:lncRNA